GAUGAACGCUGGCGGCGUGCCUAAUACAUGCAAGUCGAGCGAACAGACGAGGAGCUUGCUCCUCUGACGUUAGCGGCGGACGGGUGAGUAACACGUGGAUAACCUACCUAUAAGACUGGGAUAACUUCGGGAAACCGGAGCUAAUACCGGAUAAUAUAUUGAACCGCAUGGUUCAAUAGUGAAAGACGGUUUUGCUGUCACUUAUAGAUGGAUCCGCGCCGCAUUAGCUAGUUGGUAAGGUAACGGCUUACCAAGGCAAGGAUGCGUAGCCGACCUGAGAGGGUGAUCGGCCACACUGGAACUGAGACACGGUCCAGACUCCUACGGGAGGCAGCAGUAGGGAAUCUUCCGCAAUGGGCGAAAGCCUGACGGAGCAACGCCGCGUGAGUGAUGAAGGUCUUCGGAUCGUAAAGCUCUGUUAUUAGGGAAGAACAAAUGUGUAAGUACCUAUGCACGUCUUGACGGUACCUAAUCAGAAAGCCACGGCUAACUACGUG
rnacentral:rRNA from 1 species